UAUUGAAAAUAAUUCCUCGAUUUAUGUACAAAUGGUUCGGUAGGUACAGCACACCUGCGGGAACACAUCCCAGCACGUAAUGGACACUCUGCG
rnacentral:lncRNA from 1 species